UACGGGGGGGGCAAGCGUUGUUCGGAAUUACUGGGCGUAAAGGGCUCGUAGGCGGCCAACUAAGUCCGACGUGAAAUCCCCAGGCUUAACCUGGGAACUGCGUCGGAUACUGGAUGGCUUGAAUCCGGGAGAGGGAUGCGGAAUUCCAGGUGUAGCGGUGAAAUGCGUAGAUAUCAUUUGGAACGCCAAUGGUGAAAACAGGUAGCUGGGGAAGUGCUGACGCUGAGACACGAAAGCCAGGGGAGCGAACGGG
rnacentral:rRNA from 1 species